rnacentral:rRNA from 1 species
AACGUAGGUACCGAGCGUUAUCCGGAUUUACUGGGCGUAAAGCGUGUUCAGGCGGCCUGGCAAGUCGGGCAUGAAAUCUCUCGGCUCAACCGAGAGAGGCUGUCCGAUACUGCUGGGCUUGAGGACGGUAGAGGGUGGUGGAAUUCCGCGUGUAGUGGUGAAAUGCGUAGAUAUGCGGAGGAACACCAGUGGCGAAGGCGGCUCACUGGACCGGAACUGACGCUGAGGCGCGAAAGCGUGGGGAGCAAACAGG